rfam:Paracoccus sp. J56 genome assembly, contig: M511DRAFT_scaffold00014.14
UCGCGGGACACGCCGCCCCAACGCGGCGCUUAUAGCUGGAAGGCUAACAUCA